CUAACAUUUAACCUCACUGAGCAGGGCCUCAAUCCCUCUGUUACUGUCACUAUACCCCACUCCCUCUAUUAUGUAAACUCACUGAGUAGGCCCCUCAAUCCCUCUGUUACUGUGUCACUAUACCCCACUCCCUCUAGCAUGUAAGCUCACUGAGCAGGGCCUCAAUCCCCCUGUUACUGUGUCACUAUACCCCACUCCCUCUAGCAUGUAAUCUAAUUGAGCAGGCCCUCAAUCACUCUGUUACUGUCACUAUACCCCACUCCCUCUAGCAUGUAAACUCACUGAGCAGGCCCUCAAUCCCUCUGUUCCUGUGUCACUAUCCCCCACUCCCUCUAACAUGUUUACUCACUGAGCAGGGCCCUCAAUCACUCUGUUACUGUGUCACUAUACCCCACUCACUCUAGCAUGUAAACUCACUGAGCAGGCCCUCAAUCCCUCUGUUGCUGUGUCACUAUACCCCACUCCCUCUAACAUGUAAGCUCACUGAGCAGGGCCCUCAAUUCCUCUGUUACUGUGUCCCUUUUCCCAACUCCCUCUAGCAUGUAAGCUCACUGAGUAGGGUCCUCAAUCCCUCUGUUACUGUGUCACUAUACCCCACUCCCUCUAGCAUGUAAGCUCACUGAGCACGGCCCUCAAUCCUCUGUUACUGUGUCAAUAUACCCCACUCCCUCUAACAUUUAACCUCACUGAGCAGGGCCUCAAUCCCUCUGUUACUGUCACUAUACCCCACUCCCUCUAUUAUGUAAACUCACUGAGUAGGCCCUCAAUCCCUCUGUUACUGUGUCACUAUACCCCACUCCCUCUAGCAUGUAAGCUCACUGAGCAGGGCCUCAAUCCCCCUGUUACUGUGUCACUAUACCCCACUCCCUCUAGCAUGUAAUCUAAUUGAGCAGGCCCUCAAUCACUCUGUUACUGUCACUAUACCCCACUCCCUCUAGCAUGUAAACUCACUGAGCAGGCCCUCAAUCCCUCUGUUCCUGUGUCACUAUCCCCCACUCCCUCUAACAUGUUUACUCACUGAGCAGGGCCCUCAAUCCCUCUGUUACUGUGUCACUAUACCCCACUCCCUCUAACAUGUAAGCUCACUGAGCAGGGCCCUCAAUUCCUCUGUUACUGUGUCCCUUUUCCCCACUCCCUCUAGCAUGUAAGCUCACUGAGUAGGGUCCUCAAUCCCUCUGUUACUGUGUCACUAUACCCCACUCCCUCUAGAAUGUAAGCUCAUUGAGCAGGGCCCUCAAUCCCUCUGUUCCUGUGUCACUAUACCCCACUCCCUCUAACAUGUUAACUCACUGAGCAGGGCCCUCAAUCCCUCUGUUACUGUGUCACUAUACCCCACUCCCUCUAACAUGUAAACUCACUGAGCAUGGCCAUCAAUCCCUCUGUUACUGUGUCACUAUACCCCACUCCCUCUAGCAUGUAAACUCACUGAGCAGGGCCCUCAAUCCCUCUGUUACUGUGUCACUAUACCCCACUCCCUCUAACAUGUAAACUCACUGAGCAGGGCCUCAAUCCCUCUGUUACUGUGUCACUAUAUCCCACUCCCUCUAACAUGUAAACUCACUGAGCAGGGCCCUCAAUCCCUCUGUUACUGUGUCACUAUACCUCACUCCCUCUAACAUGUAAACUCACUGAGCAGGCCCUCAAUCCCUCUGUUGCUGUGUCACUAUACCCCACUCCCUCUAACAUGUAAGC